AUGGCGGUUCGCGGCGGGAAGGCCCUGGUCGUAGCCAUGCUCAUCUCCUUGCUCCUGGUCCAGGGGGGCCUCGGGGAAUUCCGAUGCUGCCACUGCCGUGUGUACCGCAAGUGCAUGAACAACCCUCGCCGCAAGCCCACUGAAGAAGGCUACAACUACUGCAUCCUGAAAUCCUUCAAGGACUGCAGGGCUGCCUUCAAGCAUGGCUGCCCCAAGUCGGGCUGCAAGCAGCGUGCUGACCCCGACAUGGGUGCGGCCUUUGCAGCUGCAGCCGGUGGUCGCAACCACAGCGAGAGAAAACAGCUCCAUGAGAGCUCGACUGCUGGAGGAUCAGGGUGGUAUGUUGGAUUGGAGGACAAGAAAUAUUCGGCCGCAGCCCAGGCUGAGAAUAUAUGA
rnacentral:rRNA from 1 species